UCUUUUUCUUUUUCUUUUUUCCUUAGAGGAAGAAUAAAGGAAAAAGAGAUAAAAUAUUUAAAUCAUUUACCAAUUUGUUGGAAAUUGUUUCAGUAUUUACCAGUUCAUGGUGGGAAUUAUUUCAGUGUAUCCUCUAUCUAAAAUUCUAUAUUGAGAGCACUGUUCUGGGCUGGGGGCAUGACUUGAGUGGUAGGUUGUCUAGCAAACUUGAGGCCCCAAAUUCAGUAUAUACACACGCGUGCACGCGCACAUACACACACACACACACACACACAAAGAAAAAAUGAAAAGGAGGAGGAGAGGAGCCUGGUAUUCCUGGCAGCUCUUAAGAGAUUUUGUGUUCUCCAAAUAAAGGACAGUCUUCGCUGGGUAUUCUUUCCCAGAUAAAAACUUUAGAUUUUUAUUGAUUAUUACAAAUUGUGUAGAUUUUUUUAAGUUUUAUGGGAAAACUGAAUGUACUGUGAAAACAGCUGGUUAGUUGUGUACUACCCAAACCUCAUUAAUACAGGUAACUGGACAAGUGUUUUAAUGUAGAAAGAAAGGCUUCUUGUCUUUCACCGAAGUUCCAUUUUUCUUGCUACGUGCUUUAAGGAUGUUUCAUAUAUAGAUCUGUUUUAGGAAAUAAACCUUCAAGGGAUAAUACACAUAUUAUAUACUUAGAUUUAUUUAAAAUUCACUUAAGAGGGGAAUGCCCAGACAUAAAGUUGUUAGCAGAACAUACGGAAAAUACUGCAGAGGUGAAUGCCAGUUUUAUUAUGCCAUCUGCAGAAAUUACCAAUAUAACUAAACAAUGUUCCGGUGUAGAAUAUUUAAGGACAGCUACCUUUCUUAAGGCCCAAGGGUAAUUUUGUGAUAUUUAAAGGGCUUCGAUUUUAGAAUGCAGGAUAAAUUGCCUUUUUAAAACCAAACAUUUUCUAUAAGGAAAACUUUUAUUUUCUAUAUUUUUAACUACUAAGUAUGUAUGACAUAACGUUAGAAGUAAACUAAGGAUAAGUACCCAUGAUGCUAGAUAUGUAGCUCUGGUUGUUUAUUCCUAAAGAUGGAACCAUCUGGCAUGUCAGUGAUUGUACCAACUCAGAGACAAAAUUGACAUGAGUUUUUCUUCUGCCUUUUACGUUUUCCUGUAAAUGGAUGUAGGUGAAGUUAUUGACCAUGUAUAUAUUUCAGUGAAUUGGAGUUUCAAGUAAUCUUCACUUUUAUCUCAAGUAAUUUUACAUUUAGCUAUGUUGCCAGUUACUUUUAAGUUUGAAACACUAGUGAAAUAAAAUAGCUAGAAUGUUUAAAUAACAUCAUUCAGUCUUACAUUUUGAGUUUUCAGGUUCCAUGUGUUACAACAUAUAUCCUUUGGUAUUAAAAUUUUUUUAUUCAAAUAGCUUAUCAGAAGGAAUGGAAUUGUUAAUGCAUCUGAUUAUGGACUUAAUUAUUGGCAUCCUAGUCGUCUUCUAAUUGUGGAACCAGGCUCUCCCAGGAUAUAAAGGGUCCCAUGGGAGCCUUUGGAAGCUGCUUUAAAUCCUUCUUUUAUUUUUGACUGUUCUUGUUUUAUUCUCAGUCUAAGUAGAUGCCAGUUAUCUGGUUUAGUGGCAUUUAUUUAGAAGAUUCUCAGAUUGUAUUUUGGAGGCUUAGCUUUAUGGUCUCAAAAAGAUUACUGUAUAAUAUAAUGGCAGUUCUCUACUGUAUGCCAUACAGAGAACAUUACUCUGAUGAAUGAGUAAUCCUGAAAUUUGCAUAUUACCACUGAAAGAUUAACAUUUGUGGCACCAAUGGACAAGAGAAUUAGAAACUCAUGUUUCACUCGUCUGUAAAAUGAAGUUGUAAGUCUGAAAUUCACAUCCAAGAAUGAAUAAUUUUGUAGUUAUUGAUACUAAGUGGGGUAAAAAACAAUUCACAUUACAAAGACACAAACCCAAAGUUGCCAAAAGGGAAUUUGGUUUUCAGUGUAAGUUACUGCAUAGAUGCUUUAUCAUAUUGAGAUCUUGAAAGUGGUUAAGAAAAGGAUAUAUAGGAAUUGAAAUUCUCUCCUUAAGCAGUGCAACACAGUUGAUGUUACUGUGGAAAAUCACUCAAGAAAUAUUUAGGGCUAAAUAUACUCUUACAGACUUUAUGCUAAAAUUCUCAAAGUUUAUUCUUUAUUUUGUUUAUGUUUUGUUUUAUUGUCCAGUGUCAUAUUUGUUCAACAUAUGUGUGCUGAUACAUAGGAUAUUUUUAUUUGAAAAUUAUUACUAUCCAAAAUAAAACUGAUGGUUUAAUUUGAAGUAGAAUUGACCCAGUCCUCACAUCCAACUAAAACAGGGAGAGCUUUCUGAAUGUUUCACUGUAGAUUACAUACACAUAGGUUGAGAUUUCUGCCAUUGUGUUUAUGAAGCGUUAAACUCCUAGGGGAUGGAGACAUAGAGACUACAAGGAGUCAAAGUUUUAAAAACUUUGAAAACUAUACAAUUGGAUUUUCCCCAAGUCAAAAUGGUUCUUUCUUUUUUCUUUUUUUUUUUUUUACAUAGUUGCAUUUUUCUUAAAAUGGUCUUGAGGGAUUCAGAGGGUGUUACUAGGAUUUCAUUUUUGGCCAUAUCUGAAAAAUAAAGCUGCCCUUUGUGUCUGUAGUGAAGCCGCCUCCAUAUAGGACCCAGACCAGUUCCUGCCAACACAGUGUACAUAGUCACUUGCAAAAAAAGAAGACAGUUCAGACCAUGGAUUGAAAACAAAAACCUUUAAGGAAAUUUAAAGUGCUAUUUUUAUUUGGGUUCAAAGCGACUAGUUAUAUUUAUUUCCUUUCUCUUUUAAUCUUGCUGAUGAAGUCUCAAGUCCUGGGCUCAGUUGUGAUUAUCGACAAAAUCACUGCUUAGUCAUUUGAGGAGCUACAGUGUCAUGACUUUGAUUAAACUUUCCUUCGUUCCCCAAAUGCCAUUCCAACCGUAUCCAGAUUUUAUUAAACAAGUUGAAAACGGUCCUGUGAAUGAAUGUUGAGCUUACCAAAGUGCAUCACCUGCUGAGGAAGAUGAGUCUUCCCUGCGCUAGGAGAAAGCUGAUCACCGGCGCCUCCAAGUGCCACACCAUUUUGGUGUCGGCCAAGGAUGUUCAUGUCACCAUGGGAAGCUUUCCAUGCCCUGCUCAGAAACAUGCCUGCUUUCUAGAGAGAGCCUUUUCUAAGAUGGAGUGCUUUCUGUCAGGUCCCUGAAAUGAAAGACAUCAGGUACUUGGAAGAAGUGAGAUCUAAACGUUAUCUUGUAUAAAGUGAUGGCUUCUAAUGCUUAUAUUUCAGUAUUUGUUUUGUUUUAAAUCUCUAGUAGAGUAAAAUUUGAUUUGAACACAUAUUCCCAGUAAUAUAUUUCCUUUUCCUAUUGCUGGUGCCUCCUGUUGCAUCAGCUAGAGAUUGCCUGCCUCUUUGAAGGGCACCCUUGUGGCACCUUAUGUUCAAAUUGGAGGAUAGUGUGGCUUCUUUGUGCCUCUACUAUCUUUUCAAAAGCCAUUUUAUAAAAAAUCCUAGGUAGCCUAUUUUAAUAUUUAAAUAUAUAUAUAUUUGUGAAAGAUACUUUUAGAACUGAUUUUUUUUUUAACUUUAAAAUUACUGUAUUCCCAUUUUUAAGAGUAAACUUAAGCUUUUCCAGGACUAGGAAAGUAUCUUUUUUCCUAAGCAGCAAAAUGAGAAAGUCAGAUUGAGUUAAUAGAUAAGAAAACUCAGUGGGAGAAUAAAUUAAUGUUUAGUUAGGAGGGACAGACUUGAAGGGGAAAGCUGUUCUGAUGUUAACAAUUCUAAAAUUGUGGUUUUGUUUCUAUAGUGUCGUAUUUGCUGCUAUAGUAGCUCAAUAUUUUACAGGGCUAAUGUAUAAAUCUGGCUCCAUUUAGACACUGGAGUUCUUCCUAGUGUAAGAAGCCUAGGAGACUCUGCACCACAGUCUUCCAGAUGGCGACUGAUGGUUUUGUACUGAUGCAUGCUUUAAUACUUGCCUGUAGUGUGGCAGCAAGAAGUCUGGGGAAGUGCAUUGCCCUAAUGACUACAGCAUUAUGAUUCUUUUGGGCACUGGCAUCAUGUGAAACCCUCAAGAGAAGUUAGUGCUGGGGAGAAAAAUGUGAAUUAAGUUACAUGAGUGGGUGUUUUUAUUCUUCUGCCCCCUCCUAGGACCAGAGCAACUCCUCUACUGUGCCAGUCCCCGGCUCACCAGCUUUGUACCAGUCGUCAUCUCAUCCUAGUAUGGCUUAACUUGGUGACAGUGGCCAUAGCUGUGUUACUUGGCAUGUUUGACUUCUGACAAUAACAAAAGUGGUCUUGGAUUUUGUUUGGUAUUACUUCCUAAAAUGUAUACAGUGUCAGAACUUCACAUUUUAUAUAUUAGUAUCUGACUAUUAGUAUCUUACAGAAUCAUAGUUCUUGGUGACUACACACACACACAUAUAUUUUUGUGACUUUUUGUAAACUAAGUGCCGUUUUAAUGUUACAAUCAUUUUUAGCGUUAUGUAAUCAAUGUGAAUAUCAUGUUUUUUCAAAUCUGUUCUGAGCCUAUAGUGUUUGCUUUGUGAACAUGUGUAUUGUAUAUAUUCUGUAUAAUUACACUGUACUGAAAUACUAGCUUGUUUGAUAUAAGGAAAGUAUGUAUUGAGUACCUUUUUUGCUAGCCUGAUUGUUUAAUCUUUUUUAAAAAAGGUUUAAACUUUUUUUAAAAAAUCUUUAAGCUGGCCUUUAUUACAUGGUCACAAAGUUGCAGUUGAAAGGAUGGACAGGGAAAAAUUGGUUUUGAGUGUCUUUGAUGAGACUAAGAUUUGUUUCUGUUUUUUUUCUCAUUAAAAUAUGUUAUUAAUGCUUUAUGAAA